CAUCAUAUUUUCUAUUCCGUAAACAAAAUAAUUAUCUCUCCUCUGACUUACGCUGUCGUUUAAGAUAAGCAAACGAGAACAGUGAUAUCAGACCAGAGGGUCAAGAAAAUUGAGCAGGAGUUCAAUUUUGGGGGGUUUCAGAGAAAGGAAGGAUGUCGGGCGGGGGAGGAGAAGGGCAAAGAUACUGGUGCCACCUGUGCGAUACAAUGGUGACGCCCCUGCUAGGAGCAGGGGAGGAGGUUACCUGUGCACAGUGUCAUGGGGGUUUCGUGGAGGAAAUGGAAAGCCCUCAUCCGAUUCCCCCCCCACCCAGCGCCGCAGAAGGAGAGGCGACGCACAAUCUAAUAGGGGACGGACGCAUUGGCGACUUCUUCAGUCGGAUGAUGGAGCGCCACAUCGGUGCUGCAUUGGGCGGUCCUGAGGCGGCGACGGCAACAGGAGGCACUGGAUUCAAUCACAUGAUGUUGAUGCCAGGCGGCGGCAGUAUACAAAUUGUGUUCGAUCAUAGCGGCCGAGGAGGCGGAGGGGAAGGCGGAGGAGGAGGGAUUAGGUUUCCUGCUACAAUCGGCGACUAUUAUCUGGGCGGCGGGCUGGAGCAGCUCAUUCAGCAAUUGGCUGAGAACGAUCCAAAUCGCUACGGCACCCCGCCGGCAGCCAAGGCCGCGGUGCAAGACAUGCCGGUGAUCAAAAUUACGGAAGAGCAUCUUACUUCGGACGCCGGGCAGUGCGCCGUUUGUAAAGAUACUUUUGAAGAAGGAUCCGAGGCGCGGCAGAUGCCCUGUAAGCACAUAUAUCAUCCCGACUGCAUUUUACCCUGGCUCGAGUUGCACUCCACUUGUCCAGUAUGCCGCUACGAAAUGCCCCCUGAAGAAUCGUCAAACCCUAGCGAGGGCUCCAAUGCAAGACCUGUCGAUACAGCUGGUGGCGCUAGUGGCGUUGGCGGGCGGAGGUUCAUGUUUCAGUUUCCUUUACGCUCCCGCGAUGCAGCCCCCGGCGGGAGUAGCUCCGGCCAAGACAGUACGAUGCCACCGCGGAACGCUAAUGAUAAUGAUAAUAGUGGCGGGGAUCAGCCAAUGUCAGAGGCAAGGCAUGAAGACCUAGAUUGAUCAUGUGUUGUCAGCUUUUGACCGCAUGGAGAUUGUUUUUGAAGCAUGUUACCAGUGCAUAAAAAAAUUGGACAAGGGACUAUGGCAAAGGUCUUAGUAAGAUUGUUUAUUGUUUGACAGAGGGGUCGUAUGUAUGAAUUCUUCCUGGACAUCACUGAUGCUCAUGCGUAUGUGUCAUCAUAUUUAUCAGCCAUAUAUAAUGUUCUAAGGUAUUGUUUAGAUCGCAAGUUCUUCCUGCAACUGUUUUAUUAAUAAUGAGGUAGUUCCAGAUUUUUCAGGUUAUACAUAAAUGCUUUCAACCAUUUAGGACUGACGUAGUCAUUAAAAAUAAUUCUUUACUUCAAAAUGUGUAAAUAAGUGCAAGCUUCCUGGAGUUCUUAUCUUGAUGUGUUUUUAAUAAAUAUUCCUGCAAUAAAUAAUUUUCCAAGUUUUACUGCAAUUUCUUCCUGCAGCCGUAUUAUUAAGAAUGAGGCAAUAUCAAGGCUUUCAGAUAAUUAUUGGUUAUACAUAAAAUCUUGAUUCAACAAUUUGAGGCUGACAUAAUAGAAAUAUUUUAAAUAUUUUAUUGUGGUGCAAAUGUGAUUAGUUCUUUUUAUGAUGUGUUUUUACUAUUUUCUUUGAGUUUCAGACUAUUCUUUGGAAAGCUAAAGAGGUCAUGCAAAUUUCUUCUUCUGUUUUUUUAGAUAUUUUAGGUCUUUUUUUUCCCUUGGACCAGCAGUUGUCUUACGGCUUACCCACUGAACAUAUUUGAAGUUGUUGAACUUGCUGGUGUUUGGCUGGUGUUCUGCAUUUGUUUUUAUCUGAUGCAACAUAUGUGUUUUGUCAUCUGCUAUCUCUUGUUUGAGGACCAUCGUGAGAUGCAGACUUUCAGCCUUGCAGGGGUGCUCCAAAAAAAUGGACCUAAAAUUGGUGUGGGACAUUGAAUGAAUUGACUGGAAUCUAGUCCAAUUUAUGUACAACACUAUUGCACGAAGCAGAUUUACAGCCAAAAAAUUCAAAGACCUUUGAAGAUAAUUUGUGGGCCCACCAUUUCUAUUUUCACAAAUGAAGAGAUGACAUGACUAACUGAGUUCAAAGAAAGAAAGGAAGAUAUAGAGUGCCAAGCUGCCCUGCAAAAAAGAGAUCUCUUUAAUUUUGAAGAAGAAAAAAGAACUUUAUGUGCAGAUUGCCUGCUCUUUAGCUUACUAGCACAAUUUGACUAAAAUACUCACCACCUUUUUAAGCUUUUGAGGGUUUGUUUGCAUUGUAACAAAUUAUGGGUUGUAUCUGGAUCUCCCUCUUUGGUCAAUCUGUUGUCCUCGACCUCUAUUUUGAGAAUUCAAAGAAUUUAUUGUCAGAAUCUAUUGAGCUUGUGAAUAUCAGCCUGCUAUUACUAGUUUCU